rnacentral:rRNA from 1 species
CCAGACUCCUACGGGAGGCAGCAGUGAGGAAUAUUGGUCAAUGGCCGGAAGGCUGAACCAGCCAAGCCGCGUGAAGGACGAAGGUGCCAAGCAUUGUAAACUUCUUUUGUCAAGGGACAAAAUCAGGCUCGAGAGCCUGACCGAGGGUACUUGAAGAAAAAGCAUCGGCUAACUCCGUGCCAGCAGCCGCGGUAAUACGGAGGAUGCGAGCGUUAUCCGGAUUUAUUGGGUUUAAAGGGUGCGCAGGCGGAGGCACAAGCCAGCGGUAAAAGCGCGGGGCUCAACCCCGCUCCGCCGUUGAAACUGUGUCCCUUGAGUGCGCGAAGGGUAGGCGGAAUGCGUGGUGUAGCGGUGAAAUGCAUAGAUAUCACGAAGAACCCCGAUUGCGAAGGCAGCAUACCGGCUCCACACUGACGCUGAGGCACGAAAGCGUGGGUAUCGAACAGGAUUAGAUACCCCUGUAC